AAGAAAUAAGGUGGAAUAUUAUGAAGUAUCAUAAAGCAUCAUUUUGUUUGCAAUAGGAUCUUGAAAACCUGGAGGAUAUAUCAAAAAAGACUGUGAUGGUGAUGAGGAGACUGAAGACAUGAACUUCUGAGGACACAUUGAAUGUGAUUGCUGUUGUCAUCAAUUUGGGGCUGAUUCCUCAACCUCGCUGUUGUGAAUUGACUUGUGUCCUCCCAAAAGCUAUGUUGAAGUUCUAACCCGGGUACCUGUGAAUGUGGCCGUGUUUGGAAAUAGGGUCUUUGCAGAUGUUAGUUAUCAAGGUAAGAUGAGAUCAUAUUGGAUUAGAAUGGGCCCUAAAUCCAAUAGUUUGUGUCUUUAUAAGAAGGUCAUGUGAAAACACAGACACAAGAAAAUGUUAUGUGAAGACAGAGGCAGAGGAUGUCAAGAACUGCUAGCAGCCAUCAGCAAUGAGGAGAGAUGCAUGGAACGGACUCUCCCUCAGAGGCUUCACAAAGAACCAGUCCUGUCCACACAUGGAGAGAAUUCGUGGCUGAAUUCUAGCUUCCAGAACUGUGAGCAAAUACAUUUCUGUUAUUUUAAGCCACGCAGUUUACUGUACUUCGUUACAGCAGCCCUCGGAAACUAACAUAUCCACUCCUGGCUGUUCCUAAGUCCUGAGCCUCUCAGGCAUUCCUUCUGAAAGGCAGAUGGGCUGGCUCCCUGUUGCUCUCCCCUUGUGCAGACAUUCUGGGAGAUUACUUCCUUCUUAGCUUCCAAUAUUUGAGGGUAGCUUAUCUCCAGUUAUU